CGCUGGCGGCGUGCCUAACACAUGCAAGUCGAACGGGUUACCCUUCGGGUAACUUAGUGGCGAACGGGUGAGUAACGCGUGAGAAACCUGCCUUUCAGUGGGGGACAACAGUUGGAAACGACUGCUAAUACCGCAUAAUGUUAUUUGGGGGCAUCCCUGAAUAACCAAAGAUUUAUUGCUGAAAGAUGGUCUCGCGUCUGAUUAGCUAGUUGGUGAGGUAACGGCUCACCAAGGCGACGAUCAGUAGCCGGUCUGAGAGGAUGAACGGCCACAUUGGGACUGAGAUACGGCCCAGACUCCUACGGGAGGCAGCAGUGGGGAAUAUUGGGCAAUGGGGGAAACCCUGACCCAGCAACGCCGCGUGAAGGAAGAAGGCCUUCGGGUUGUAAACUUCUUUUAGCAGGGACGAAUUCUGACGGUACCUGCAGAAAAAGCAACGGCUAACUACGUG
rnacentral:rRNA from 1 species